AACGCACAUUGCGCCCUUUGGUAUUCCGAAGGGCAUGCCUGUUCGAGCGUCAUUACACCAAUCAAGCCUGGCUUGGUAUUGGGCGUCGUGCGUCAAGCACGUGCCUUAAUGUUUCCGGCUGAGCGUUUGCCUUCUAGCGUUGUGGUUUAUUCAAUUCGCUUGUUAAGGUGGAGCUGCUGCGGCCGUCAAAACUUCUUAAGGUUGACCUCGGAUCAGGUAGGGAUACCCGCUGAACUUAA
rnacentral:misc_RNA from 1 species